UUUCUUCUCGUCUGUCGCCAUGUGAGAUGUACCUUUCACUUUCCUCCAUGAUUGUGAGGCCUCCUUAGCCACAUGGAACUGCCCUGGCAAUCACUAUUCCAGUCUCUGCUUCUAUGAGUUUGACUAUUUCAGAUUCCACAUGUAGGAAAUGCUGGAGUCCUUCAUCCGAAUGAAUGGCAAGGAUUGAAGACCGAAAAAAAUCAAGCGUUGAGGAGAGUGACAAAUGGGGAGACAGCCGUGGUGCAUGAUCGCCGAAUAAAUACCAUGUGAGGAUACAGCAAGAAGGUGGCCAUCUACAAGCCAAGGAGACAGGCCUCAGAAGAAACCAACCCUUCUUACACCCUGGACUCAGACUUCUAAUCUCCAGAACUUGUUAAUGCACAAGGUCUUGUGUUGAAAAUGUAGAGCCACGAGAUAAAAGCAGCUUGGAUGGCUGACUCAUAUACAAGGACAACUGCCUGAGAGUCACCAGGGCUAUCAAGAAGUUUGCAGAAACAAGAAAUAAACUUUUACUGUUUUAAACUUUUGUGAAUUUUGGGUUUUGUUUAUCACCAAAUAAACCUAGUCUAUUCUGAUUGUUA
rnacentral:lncRNA from 1 species